GGCACCUGGCAUUGGCCACUGUCGGAAGACAGGAUACUGGGCUAGAUGGACCUUUGGUCUAACCCAGUAUAGGUGUUCUUGUGUUCUUCAGUGGGCCCAGAAAGGAUAAUAUUUCACUGGGGGGAGUGGAGAGGAGGGGGGAGAAAGGCAUUCAAGUCUUUUUGGCUUGUGAGUUUCUAUGGCUGUUUUCGAAGGAGGGGGACUGACAGUGAUAACUUUCAACUGUCUUUCUCCUCACAGGGCUGGUACUAUAUGCUUCCAGUGUCCAGGGCUUUCCUAAAAACUAAUCUGAUCUACUUCAGUGAACUAAAGGGUAUAGUUCAGGCUUGUCACUAGUUCAGUCCUAUGCCGGUACAAUCAUCUGUGCCCAAUGGUGUUGAAUUGGGCACUGUGGCUUUGUAAAAUGAAACAUGACUUUCUGUAUCCUAGCAGGAACCACCAAAUGUAUCUAGCUUAAGGCUUGAAGUUCAGCCUGGAACAGUUUCUGACCAUCAAAAAUUGUCACUGUACCUACUGUGCAAUCUGGUCUCAUAAAUGGCUGACAAUUUUCUUUUAUUUUUAUAAAAUAUCCUUGCUUUUGUAAGGAGUGAUUUUUUUUUUUUUUUUGGUUUGAGGAGGGUUUUUUGUUGUUUGGCUAAAAAGAAAUGAAUGGAAGGAGAGUCAAUAAUGGAAUGUCUUAUUGAGUAUCGAUCGGAUGGCAUCUUUUGGCAAUGUGUCCUGGCAGUAAGGAUUACAUGAACCUCCAAGACAGACUUCAAGUCAUUGAGGUGGCAGAUGUUCCUUUGUUUUUGUUGUGGUACAGGUGGCCUCAUGUCUCUCAGGUGUCUUGUAUCUCUUCAUUCUGCCUCUUUUUUGCUCUGUUUUCUCUACAAUUGUCAUUACACCAGGGAGUCAUCAUCAUGAUACCUUGUUAGCAUGACCUUCUGGAGAAGUUAUGGCUUGCACUAAGCUUUUUUGUGCUGUUGUUUGAAUGACCAGACGAGUGCAUUCUAAGGGCAUUUAUGCGUUCUGAAGUUUAUAUUAGAACACUGCUUACACUGGACUGAAUUCUGCCAGGUACCAAAUGCCCUCAGUUCACACACCAGGAAGUCAAUGGAACAAUACUGAUUUAUAACAGAUGAGGAGUUGGCCUAAUUGAGAUAUAUUUAUUGUACUUUAAGAUAAUCAUGGCAAUAUUUGAAAAUUAUAGCUGGUUGAGCUAAAAAUGUAGCUGCUUUCCUCCCUUUUUAGAUUACUGAACCUUUUAUGAACUAAUCCUGAUUUCUG